CGCACGGGUGAGUAACACGUAUGGAACCUGCCCUAUGCAGGGGGAUAAGCGGAAGAAAUUCCGUCUAAUACCGCAUAACACCAUUUGGAGACAUCUCCAGGUGGUCAAAGGAGGCGACUCCGGCAUAGGAUGGCCAUGCGUCGCAUUAGCUAGUCGGCGGGGUAACGGCCCACCGAGGCGACGAUGCGUAGGGGUUCUGAGAGGAAGGUCCCCCACACUGGUACUGAGACACGGACCAGACUCCUACGGGAGGCAGCAG
rnacentral:rRNA from 1 species